AUUCUUAUCAUCUUCUUGGAUUUUUCUCACGAGUUUAAUAUUUUAUUUUCUCUCGUUCUAUUCAUAUUUCUUUUUGCAUUUACUCGUGAGCAUGUUUAAUUUCUGCUAUCUGUUUAUGAAAUUCUCUAUUGCUAGUUGUUUACUGAUCUCUCGAAUGGCAUUCGUCUGUAUCAUUUAGAUUGAUCUCGUUUUAGUCUCGUAUCAAUCAAUCAUGCCUAUAGGCAAUUAUACUGUCUGUCCUGGGAAUAAUGAGCCCCUGGUCGGACGUGAUUUGUUGUUGAUGAACAGAAGAGAGCUUGAUC
rnacentral:lncRNA from 1 species